AGAACUUAGCAGAGAUGCUUUGGUGCCUUCGGGAACUCUGAGACAGGUGCUGCAUGGCUGUCGUCAGCUCGUGUUGUGAAAUGUUGGGUUAAGUCCCGCAACGAGCGCAACCCUUUUCCUUGGUUGCCAGCGAUUCGGUCGGGAACUCAAAGGAGACUGCCAGUGAUAAACUGGAGGAAGGUGGGGAUGACGUCAAGUCAUCAUGGCCCUUCCGAGUAGGGCUAAACACGUGCUACAAUGGCAUAUACAAAUAGAAGCGCCCUCGCGCGCGCAAGCGGACCUCAUAAAGUAUGUCGUA
rnacentral:rRNA from 1 species